AGGCAGGGGAGAGCGUCUUGAGGUGUGCGGGGGGAAUAGGAUGCGUGGGGCCGUGUGCACGCACGAGUCUCAUUCUGUUGUUCACUCUGGUUUGAGCUACCAACAGUGUGUGUUUUCUCAUCUUGAGCUUCUCGUUAUCUGGGCUUUUUGUUCUAGGCAACGUGACUAGAGCGUGUGAGAUUGUAGCGAGUUACCUGCAACCUGUCGCCAGGCUACCAACGCGAGCUUGCUGCGGACAGUUGUAGCGAGUUACCUGCAACCUGUCGCCAGGCUACCAACGCGAGCUUGCUGCGGACAGUUGUAGUGAGUUAUCUGCAACCUGUCGCCAGGCUACCAACGUGGAUAAGGUUCUGGCCAGACAGGCCAUUGUUAGGUGCGAUAAGAAACCGCGUGCGUUCGAUUGUCGUCUUGCGUCGGAAGCGAACGGUAAGAGAGCUCUCUAGCGUGCGACCAAAAGGUACCUCGCGUCGUUUAUUCUAUUAAUAUAUUUUCUUUCAGCGUUUUGUUUGUAAUUGUAUGCUUCAUCAGUUUAUUGAAUAAAUUGUUCUCUUGCCCCGGCUUUUCUCUCAAUUCCGUGAGAGUUUUUAUGCCGAGGCAAGUAGCUUUGUGCCGUGUAAAA
rnacentral:lncRNA from 1 species